rnacentral:lncRNA from 1 species
GAGAGCACCCAGUAUGUGGUGCUUUUCAGAUUCAACAACAAAGGCAGAAUUUUAAAAGAGAAAAAUAAGCUGGACGUCAUCAAGAUUAAAAACUCUGCAUGAGACGCUGUCAGGUGUGUGAGAACGGCGUGCGUAUGGGAGGCACUUGUGUGUAGUGUGUGCGGUGUAUGUGUGUGUACGAUGUAUGUGCUGUGUGUGUGGUACACGUAUUUGCACACAUGUGUUUGGCAGAGUAAAGCCUGGAAGGACUCGCACGGAAAUAUCAAGAGUUACCAGGCAGGGUUUGGGGGUUGGGAAGUCUUUUGAUAGCCAUAAUUAUCUUUUUCUUACCAGAAUGCUGUUUUUUUUUUUUAAAUAUUGGGUGUGUAUUACUUGUGGAAAAUUAAGAGGACAGAGAAGGUCCCUCUGGAAGCAGGCAGCAGGGUCAGGAACGCCCCCGUGGAGCUGGUGGGCAGGAGCCCUGGGUGGGGACAGCCCACCUUGAGCUUCGGUGCAGGGAAGGUCAGGUCGGGGGGCGGCAAGUGGAGGAGGGAGGAGACCCACAGCCCCUGGGGGGCCUCCUCCCCAGGUGGCACCUCGGUUCCCUCCUCCCGCAGGACUCAGGGACACUGUGAGGCUGCGCCUGCAGCAGGGGGACCCUCAGGGUCUCCAGGCCCCCUGCCCAGUGGUCAGGCCCUGCUCAGGGCCCCUGUUCCGAGCUGCGGUCAGAAGGCCCUUGAGCUGGGCAAUCAGCCACAGGCGUUGGUCCCCAGCUGCCCUUUGCUGGCCCAGCGCCAUCUCCGUGCCUGCAGUCAUUCCAGCUGGUCACCUGGUGGUCCACACACUCGUGACCCCCUCAGCCUGCAGGGCCACGCUCCAUCUCUGACCCUUCCAACGGUCCUGGGCCAAGGGAUGGGCCACCGCGUAGCUGCCCUGGGUUCAAGAUUUCCUUGUCUCCUAAAGGGACGAGGUGUCUCCCAACGCCAUCGGGAAGGUUCAUGGAGGGGGGAUUUGCAGAGGGUCCGCGGCCAGUGGCCAGAGCAGAGGCCCCAGAUUUUCAGAAUCAGCCUCAGCCGCUGAGGGCUAUUAUUAUAACGCCUCUCAAUUUUAGCCCAAGAAACUAAGAUUCAGGGCUUAAGAAAGUUGCCGAUUUUUGGAAAAUUGCGGGGGCAGGAGAAUUGGGGUACCUGGUAGGGGUGCCUGCCUCCCCGAGGCAGGUGGCAGGUGAGGGGUCCUGACAGACCCCGGGAGAGCCUGGGCUGUGAGCAGCUUGAGUAAUGCAACACCCAGACCAGGAAGGGGGCUACCCUCACCCCCGGCUAGGGUCUGGAGUCCCGUCUCCUCCUCGAGGGGAAGGACCGGGGCAGGUGGACUGGAGCUGUCCAAUCGCGAGAGGUCCUCGCGCCCGGCCCCCCAGCUCUGGCCAAUCAGGGAGGACCACCCCCAGUCCCGAGAAUGGGGUGAGGGCCUUAGGAGGCUGCAGGACCCUCUGGUCACCUCCCCCUUCCAGCCUCUGUUUUCUCUUCUGGAAGCGGGACUGAUGACGCCCACCUUCCACGGUGCGGCUUCGCUUCGGGAAGCGCCUUCUCCCCUCGCCCUUCCUCCAGCGCGAUCCCGAUCCCCCAGCGCCGCAGGGCCCCUCAACUCGGUCCUGCGGCCAAAGGACCCCCAGCCAGGCCGGGAGCCUCCGCAGCCCCCAGCGGAAUCCCACCUCGCUCCCCGCUGUGGCCCGGAGCCCCAGAGCAAGAGCCGGGGCAGCCUCCCUGCCUCCCUCCAGGGGACUCACCACGGAGGAGCGGAGGAGCGCAGGCCUGACUGUCCAGAGGGACCUCUGAGUCCAGGUCCGGGCAGGGGACGGCGCUGGCGCUGACCCGGCCUGGGCGGUGGGGAGAGGUGGGGCUGGUCCCCGCCAGUCCCGGAGCCCGGGCCAAGGCCAGAACCCCAGAGGGGAGNNNNNNNNNNNNNNNNNNNNNNNNNNNNNNNNGGGCAGGGGUGGGGGGCAGGGGUGGGGGGAGGGAGGACCCUUCCAGAAGUCACGGGCUCUGAAAAGGGCCUGCAGCGUUUCUCCACAGGGCUGAUUUGAUCCGAGGACAGUGGCCCCCAGAGGCGGUAACUUCACUCACUGGCCGGGGAACUUCCCAUGGUGCUCUCAUGGCGAGACGCACUGUGCCUUGGGAGGCCUGUACCUCAAGGUCACAUCCUAAGGGAAGCUUUCCCCAACUACACACCCACUAAGACAAGCCCCCUCACCACGUGAGCACAGAGAGGCGCUUCUGCACCCUCUCAGCACAGGUUUAUCACGGGCUCAGAGACUGUCUGACACCGUCUCCCCCACUGCGGUCUGCAGGAAUCCCCCGCACCCAGUGCCGGGUGCUUCGUAUUCUUGUUCAGCUGCUAAGUCCUGUCUGACUCUUGGCGACCCCAUGGAAUGCAGUCCACCAGGCUCCUCUGUCCGUGGCAUUUUAAGGGCAAGGAUACUGAGUCUCCUGCGUUGGCAGGCAGAUUCUUUACCACGGAGCCACCUGGGG